ACCCGGCUCCUGACGUUCACAAGAAGGCAUUUGCACCCCAGGGCUCCUGAGACCAGAGUCAACCUUCCUGUGGAUCUAAAGGCGCUGCCCUCGCUGCCACCUGGAGCUGCUUCAUCACAGCCCGAGGCUCUUGUCUCAGAUGCUCAAUGUGCCCCUUGCCUGUGACCACCAGUGCCCCCAGAGGGCGCCCUUCCCCCAAAGGGCCAGUGGUCCUGAUUCUCUCCUCAAAGGGACCAAGAAAUAGGUCACAUCCCUUGACCAAGUUAGUUGUACAAAAGAAGCUCUCGAACCACUGAACUCAUAAACUGACAAAAAUCACCCCAAAACAAGAAGGGAGGAAAGGCAACUGCAAGCACUGAGUGUUCAUGCUUAAGGAGUCAUUGGCAACCCCGAAAGGGGAGCUUCUGCCAUUUUGAACAUGGAUUGCCUGAUAAGGGAGUGCAAACAUGUCAAAGAAGAACAUGCAGUGAGAGGACCAGGAAGUAUGCUAAGUUUGUCCUCCCCAGACAGUUGGGCUGAUGAGGGAGGGACUCUUUGCUUCUACAUAAAAAACAAAAGGCUCAGUCCUGCAUCUAUAAGUAUGGUAACCCCUUCCCUAAGAGCACAGUCUAUUUUUUGCAAGAACCAUAAAUAAAGCAACGUCCUUGUGCAAAAA